CUGGUGGUGGUGGUGUGGUUAGGGGGUAUGACUCCUCCCCAGGGUGGUGGUGGGGUUAGGGGUAUGACUCCUCCCCAGGGUGGUGGUGGGGUUAGGGGGUAUGACUCCUCCCCAGGGUGGUGGUGGUGGUGGUGGUGUGGUUAGGGGGUGUGACUCCUCCCAGGGUGGUGGUGGUGGUGUGGUUAGGGGUGUGACUCCUCCCCAGGGUGGUGGUGUGGUAAGGGGGUAUGACUCCUCCCCAUGGUGGUGGUGGUGGUGUGGUUAGGGGGUGUGACUCCUCCCCAGGGUGGUGGUGGGGUUAGGGGUGUGACUCCUCCCAGGGUGGUGGUGGGGUUAGGGGGUAUGACUCCUCCCCAGGGUGGUGGUGGGGUUAGGGGUAUGACUCCUCCCCAGGGUGGUGGUGGUGGUGGUGUGGUUAGGGGGUGUGACUCCUCCCCAGGGUGGUGGUGGGGUUAGGGGUGUGACUCCUCCCCAGGGUGGUGGUGGGGUUAGGGGUAUGACUCCUCCCCAGGGUGGUGGUGGUGGGGUUAGGGGGUAUGACUCCUCCCCAGGGUGGUGGUGGUGUGGUUAGGGGGUAUGACUCCUCCCCAGGGUGGUGGUGGUGUGGUUAGGGGGUAUGACUCCUCCCCAGGGUGGUGGGGGUGGGGUUAGAGGUUAUGACUCCUCCC
ensembl:lncRNA